rnacentral:rRNA from 1 species
AACGAACGCUGGCGGCAGGCUUAACACAUGCAAGUCGAGCGAGACCUUCGGGUCUAGCGGCGGACGGGUGAGUAACGCGUGGGAACGUGCCCUUCUCUACGGAAUAGCCCCGGGAAACUGGGAGUAAUACCGUAUACGCCUUUGGGGGAAAGAUUUAUCGGAGAAGGAUCGGCCCGCGUUGGAUUAGGUAGUUGGUGGGGUAAUGGCCCACCAAGCCGACGAUCCAUAGCUGGUUUGAGAGGAUGAUCAGCCACACUGGGACUGAGACACGGCCCAGACUCCUACGGGAGGCAGCAGUGGGGAAUCUUAGACAAUGGGGGCAACCCUGAUCUAGCCAUGCCGCGUGAGUGAUGAAGGCCUUAGGGUUGUAAAGCUCUUUCAGCUGGGAAGAUAAUGACGGUACCAGCAGAAGAAGCCCCGGCUAACUCCGUG